GACGAACGCUGGCGGCAUGCUUAACACAUGCAAGUCGAACGCGAAAGGGACUUCGGUCCUGAGUAAAGUGGCGCACGGGUGAGUAACGCGUGGAUAAUCUGCCCUUAUGAUUGGAAUAACAGUUGGAAACGGCUGCUAAUACCGGAUACGCUCAAAAUGAACUUUUUGAGGAAAGAUGGCCUCUGCUUGCAUGCUAUCGCAUAAGGAUGAGUCCGCGUCCCAUUAGCUUGUUGGCGGGGUAACGGCCCACCAAGGCAACGAUGGGUAGCCGAUUUGAGAGGAUGAUCGGCCACACUGGAACGGAAACACGGUCCAGACUCCUACGGGAGGCAGCAGUGGGGAAUAUUGCGCAAUGGGCGAAAGCCUGACGCAGCGACGCCGCGUGAGGGAUGAAGGUUUUCGGAUCGUAAACCUCUGUCAGAAGGGAAGAAACUACGUUGUGCUAAUCAGCAGCGUACUGACGGUACCUUCAAAGGAAGCACCGGCUAACUCCGUGCCAGCCGCCGCAGUAA
rnacentral:rRNA from 1 species